GACGAACCGUGCGAACGUUGCUCGGAAUCACUGGGCGUAAAGGGUGCGUAGGCGGGUCUUUAAGUCAGGGGUGAAAUCCUGGAGCUCAACUCCAGAACUGCCUUUGAUACUGAGGAUCUUGAGUUCGGGAGAGGUGAGUGGAACUGCGAGUGUAGAGGUGAAAUUCGUAGAUAUUCGCAAGAACACCAGUGGCGAAGGCGGCUCACUGGCCCGAUACUGACGCUGAGGCACGAAAGCGUGGGGAGCAAACAGG
rnacentral:rRNA from 1 species